rnacentral:rRNA from 1 species
AGUGAACGCUGGCGGUAGGCCUAACACAUGCCAGUCGAACGGCAGCACAGUAAGAGCUUGCUCUUACGGGUGGCGAGUGGCGGACGGGUGAGGAAUACAUCGGAAUCUACUUUUUCGUGGGGGAUAACGUAGGGAAACUUACGCUAAUACCGCAUACGACCUACGGGUGAAAGCAGGGGAUCUUCGGACCUUGCGCGAUUGAAUGAGCCGAUGUCGGAUUAGCUAGUUGGCGGGGUAAAGGCCCACCAAUGCGACGAUCCGUAGCUGGUCUGAGAGGAUGAUCAGCCACACUGGAACUGAGACACGGUCCAGACUCCUACGGGAGGCAGCAGUGGGGAAUAUUGGACAAUGGGCGCAAGCCUGAUCCAGCCAUACCGCGUGGGUGAAGAAGGCCUUCGGGUUGUAAAGCCCUUUUGUUGGGAAAGAAAAGCAGCAGGUUAAUACCCCGCUGUUCUGACGGUACCCAAAGAAUAAGCACCGGCUAACUUCGCG